UGAGAGCGGCGUACGGGUGCGGAACACGUGUGCACUGCUUUAUCUGGGGGAUAGCCUUUCGAAAGGAAGAUUAAUACCCCAUAAUAUGUUGAAUGGCCAUCAUUCGACAUUGAAAACUCCGGUGGAUAGAGAUGGGCACGCGCAAGAUUAGAUAGUUGGUGAGGUAACGGCUCACCAAGUCUACGAUCUUUAGGGGGCCUGAGAGGGUGAUCCCCCACACUGGUACUGAGACACGGACCAGACUCCUACGGGAGGCAGCAGUGAGGAAUAUUGGACAAUGGGUGAGAGCCUGAUCCAGCCAUCCCGCGUGAAGGACGACUGCCCUAUGGGUUGUAAACUUCUUUUGUAUAGGGAUAAACCUACCCUCGUGAGGGUAGCUGAAGGUACUAUACGAAUAAGCACCGGCUAACUCCGUGCCAGGCAGCCGCGGUAAUACGGAGGGUGCAAGCGUUAUCCGGAUUUAUCGGGUUAACAAGGGUCGGUAGGCGGGAUUCUGGUAAGUUCAGUGGGUGAAAAUUCUUCAACAGGGUUUAAACUUGGUGGAAACUUGGCCAAUUUGGAUUACUUGGAGGGUCCUUGGAAGUUGGUUGGUUGAAAGUU
rnacentral:rRNA from 1 species